UUCUUGUUUGGAGGCUGGACCCAGAGAAACAUGGCUUCAAUCCUGGACAUGCAGCUUUCAAAUCAGCGUGGCAGGGUGUUUCAAGUCUAGAAACCUGAGUUUCAGGGUGUUAAGGUUGUAUGUCUACACUUUCAGGGUGUGAUCUGUGCUUAUGGUUUGAUUCUUUCUCUCCAGAGUUCCCCCAAAGCCUCUGUCUUCCUUCUGUAGCUGAGCUGCUUCAGCCUCUGUGGGACACCCAUUUGAAGGAACCUGUCUAAAUCCAUGUAAGAGAUCUCCUAUUUUUUCCCUCCCACCUGAGACUCUUCCUCCUCUGCCAGACACCUGUUCCAAGGAAGCUCCUGCAACAAGGGUGUGGGCUUGUGUCAUGAAGGUUGAGUAUCCAGGGUGACAGUGAAGAAUCCUACUCCCACCGCAAGAGUGGAUUUAAGUGUUCCUGAGAGGAAGAGGAGUAAGACAUCUUGUUGGCCUGUGCCCCAGAGAUCUCCUCAAGCUUUUCCUUCCCUCCCAACUGAUCCUCUCCCUCCUCAGCCAGACACCUGCUGCAGGGAGGUUACCUAAAACCAGGUAACUUUUACAAAGGCUGGAUGGUCCUUGGUUUCAUGCUGGGUCCCAGGGUUGAAGGGUGCUGACUGAUCAGGGGCUGCUCACAUGACUUACAAAUGGUGUCAAUGAUUUCAGGGUGUGGGGUGAGUUCUGGCUCUGAGAUUGUCAUACCCCAGCCCAUAGUGUACAUCUGUGCACUGAAAGGGAGAAGAGGAAGGAAAUCACACUGGCAGUGCCCCCAGACACUGCAGAGCAGACUUCUGCCGUUGGAGGCUGUCAGGGUUCAGAGUUGCUGUUAGAGCAGCACAUUCUAGUCAAAGGGCUCUAGAGAACCCCGGAGACCCUCCUCUCCUUCAGGCUGAAAUACGUGGUUGCCGAUUGUAUGACGAGACCCCACAGAAAUGCUUGGGGCUGGAAUGGGGUUACAGGGCGCUUCUUAUCAUCUGGCCAAUUUCUUUCACCUCAGGAUAUUGGCAUAAUUCUGCUCUCACAUCUUUGGUUCAAAUUCAGUGUGUUUCUCUGAUAAAUGACCAGAAAUUUGACAGACUCUCUGAGGGGACAAGCAAAUACCUGGCUUGAAUCUCAAAUGUUCAGGUUUCUGAAACCAGGCUGACAUGACACUCUCUCCUCUUGUGUGUUCAGUUUGCUGAGGAAGAGGAAGAGGACAGUCACAUCAGUCUGUGCCCAAGACCAGUGCUUAAAACAUCAAUGUCCAAUCUUUAACACUGUUGUUUCUGGACCCAAAGGUCUGCCUCUGGAGAAACAGGGCCAGCUGACCCAGGGAGCAUGUCACACUCUGGCCCUGGGGCACCAAUUUUUUGUCAUGCCCACCAGAUGCUGAGGGUACAGUUGUGUCCCUUCCCUGAGGUGAGUCCAUUUGGCCAGAGCUGUAGAGGCUCCCUGUUUCCAGCUCCAAACCUAUGAGCAUGUUCUGAGUGUCCCACAGUCCUUCAACUGCAGCUCUGAGCCUGGAGUCUCAGCCAGGCAUCUGCACAGGGGCUCUGCCUGAGCUUGGGUUCAGCCUGGUGACCUUCAGUCUAACACCAUCUCUCAGCCCUUCCACAUGUUUCUCAUCCACCCUAGAAGCUACCUGGGCCUUGGGCCUGGGCAGCUUGAUUUCACGCUGGCCUUGGGCCUGGGUUGCUUGAUUUCAUUUCUCCUCAGCUGUUGAGCCACACGAGUAUCUAGAUACUGGGGUAUUUCCCUCUCACAGCCUCCCUGAGUGCUCA